rnacentral:rRNA from 1 species
UACGGUCAAAUCACGCUGAAACACCGGUUCCCGUUCGAUCACCGAAGUUAAGCAUCGUAGAGCCAGGUCAGUACUUAGAUGGGGGACCGCUUGGGAACACCUGGUACUGUAAG